rnacentral:rRNA from 1 species
GUAGGUGGCAAGCGUUGUCCGGAAUUAUUGGGCGUAAAGCGCGCGCAGGCGGUUCUUUAAGUCUGAUGUGAAAGCCCACGGGCUCAACCGUGGAGGGUCAUUGGAAACUGGAGAACUUGAGUACAGAAGAGGAAAGCGGAAUUCCACGUGUAGCGGUAAAAUGCGUAGAGAUGUGGAGGAACACCAGUGGCGAAGGCGGCUUUCUGGUCUGUAACUGACGCUGAGGCGCGAAAGCGUGGGGAGCAAACAGGAUUAGAUACCCUGGUAGUCCACGCCGUAAACGAUGAGUGCUAAGUGUUAGGGGGUUUCCGCCCCUUAGUGCUGCAGCUAACGCAUUAAGCACUCCGCCUGGGGAGUACGGCCGCAAAGGCUG